CCACGUCAUCACCAGCACCACUCACCACUCACCGCUCACCAUGAAGCUCGCUCUCGCUCUCUGUGCCACGUUCCUCCUCGUCGUCCUGGUCCAGGCCGAACAGGAAUGUACACCUGGCCAGACAAAGAAACAAGACUGCAACACAUGCACUUGCACCCCCACUGGAGUCUGGGCCUGUACACGCAAGGGCUGCCAGCCCGUUAAGAGACGGAUUCCUUCCGAAUCCUGGCUGUUGCUGGAGAAUGUCAGCAGUUAAUAACACCUGUAGUGGCAGCAGCGACGUACGCCUUCUACUGUCCUCGAGAACAUUUCGGCAUGUAUACAGCUUCCAUGAAGUCCAUCUGCACCGAAAACGUUUCUAUUAAUUUGAAAUU